UUUCAUAAAAAAAAAAAAAUCUACAACAGCUCUAAGCCAAAAUGAAAAAUCCUUGACGUCGGCCACCUUCUCCACUGGUGAACCUGAAGCUUUGUCUCUUCCUGGGAAUCAUACCACCACCAUCUAUGGUCGAUGAGCGAGGAGGGGAUGUUUUAUUGCAGUGUGUGUGAAGUUGAGGUUUUCAAAUACAGCAAGCAUCGCAGGGUUUGUAAAAAAUGUGUGGACUGUUUUGAUCAUCAUUGCAGGUGGCUAAAAAAUUGCAUUGGCAAGCGGAAUUACCAAUGACUACAUAGUUGCAUUUAGAGAUGAAGAGCAAGAACUAGAAGUUGGAGGUGGUCAACAGGUUCAUCCUUGGGCUGAGGUUGUGAACGUGGUUUCUGCUAUUGUGACUGUUGUUGUUCCGUUUGUGACUGUGUCGUUGUUGCUGCAGACUACAGUGGAGGUAGCAAUUGGCGAGGAGGUUCAACAACAAAAGGUGAACCUGAGAAAUCAAAAAUGAUUUGUGACUAUUGUUGCUGGGUUGGAAAUAAAAAAAUGAUUUGUGACUAUUGUUGCUGGGUUGGAGGCGGUUAAUGAACAAAGGACAUAGCUUCAGACUCUUGAUCCGAUUUUGUUUAUGCUACUUAGAAAUAUAUAUAUAUAUAUAUAUAUAUAUAUACAUAAAUAUAUAUGUUUACAUUCUUAAGAAGAUGCAAAUGUUGUUAUAAUUUUAAGACCACAAAAAUAUAUAUUUGAGAUGUAAAAUAUGUUAAAAUCACCCAAAGUUUAACAAUCAAAUUUCAUAGAAUUAUGCCUGAGAUGGGUCUGGAUAUCCGGGUUUUUGGGGCUAUCCGGAUCCGGAUCCGUAUCCAGCGGAUAUGUGGUUUUAGUCUCCGUCUCCGGAUCUGUCUACUCAGGUCGGAUAUCCGUGUGAAAACCCGGUUAUUCGCGGAUAUCUGGAUCCAUUCCAAAGCACUUUCAAAAUCGAUGAAACUCUAGAUCGAGCCGUCUAUUGAAGGAAAUCUUCCCGUUACGGCCAAUACUCGCUCUAGAUCUCGUCAUCUCGUUCUGAAAUUGACCAGA